CUAAGUGUGUGUGUGUGUGUGUAUAUAUAUACAUAUAUAUAUAUAUAUGUAUAUAUAUAUAUACACACACACACACACAUAUAU